CUGGGCCUGGGGGAUUGAGGUGUGGAGAUCUACCUGUCUCACGGCUGCUUGUGACCAUGCAUCUGACUGCCAAUGCUCUGGAGAGCAGAGAGCUCAGUUGAGGUCUGUCAAGAGUCCACUGCAGCUGCUUCACAUUUAAACGGCACGUACAAGAUUAUGAAGCUUUCCUGGCUGCCGAGGAGCUCAGCAGACUUGUUUAAAACUGAGACUGGUGACUGAACGAAAAAAAAUGUGACAGAAACCUGUACUGGGGCCCUUACCUGGGCCAGGCCAGGAUGAGGGAUACAUAGGUCAACAUCCUACGGAGCCUUUCACCAGGAGCUCAGAGCAGAGACCGUCAUUAAGCUUCCAAAGAAAUGAAAUGCCCAAG
rnacentral:lncRNA from 10 species